rnacentral:misc_RNA from 1 species
UAACUGCGCGCAAUAGUGUGAACUGCAGGACACAUGAACACCGACGUUUUGAACGCAUAUGGCGGUCUGAAAGAAAUAUUCAGACCACGUCUGGCUGAGGGUCGGAUUUGAAAUAAGCAAAUAAAAGCAUCGCUGGGUUGAAAAGCUCAGUCAGAAUCAAUGUUAAUAACAUGGUUGCGCUUUGGCUCAACUUGGUCUGAUGUUACAAUAAAUGUGACCAUAAACUGAGCUCUUAGUCCGCACUAUUCAGAUAUACGACCUCAGAGUAGACGAGAUUACCCGCUUAAUUUAA